rnacentral:rRNA from 1 species
AAGCGCUCACCACCAGACUUGCGCGCGGGCGAUCAUCCGGGGUUCUCUCCGGUGCACUCGCUCGCGUUCAGGCCAGCAUCGGUUUCGGUGGCUGGAUAAAGGUCGCGGGAAUGUGGCUCCUCUCGGGGAGUGUUAUAGCCCGUGGCGACAUGCAGCCCACUGAGAUCGAGGAUCGCGCUUCGGCUAGGAUGCUGGCGUAAUGGUGGUCAGCG